rnacentral:rRNA from 1 species
GGCCGCGGGAAUUCGAUUCAGGCCUAACACAUGCAAGUCGAGCGAUGAAGCACCUUCGGGUGUGGAUUAGCGGCGAACGGGUGAGGAACACGUGAGGAAUCUGCCUUCCACUCUGGGAUAACUCCGGGAAACCGGGGCUAAUACCGGAUACUUUCAACUGGCGGCAUCGCCGGUUGAAGAAAGUUUUUCGGUGGAAGAUGACCUCGCGGCCUAUCAGCUUGUUGGUGAGGUAAUGGCUCACCAAGGCGACGACGGGUAGCCGGCCUGAGAGGGGGACCGGCCACACUGGGACUGAGACACGGCCCAGACUCCUACGGGAGGCAGCAGUGGGGAAUAUUGGG